GCCUGGGUGGCUCAGUCAGUUGAGCAUCUGACUUCGGCUCAGGUCAUGAUCUCGCAGUUUGUGGGUUCUAGCCCCACAUCAGGCU
rnacentral:tRNA from 1 species